rnacentral:lncRNA from 1 species
CCCAAUUUAAAGCUGUUAAUUAUGUCUCGACCCCCCCCCCCCCCAUUUUGAGGCUCAGAGCACGACAAGUGAGGGCUGCAGAGCGGUGCACAAGCUCCCAGCAUUUCCACCAACCUCUGGCCCCAACCCGGAGCAGCUGGAGGGCCGAGGUCCAGCACCCCUGGGGGGACUCUGAGUCUGUCCCCCCACCCCCAGGGGCUGGCACGGGCGGGGAGAUGGAUCUCAGCCCCCCCACCACUUGCUCCCCACCCCAGGAGAUGCUGAGAACAGCGGGGUCCCCAAGCACCCCAUGUCCCCAUGGUGGUCCUGGGCGGUGGGACAUGAGCUCAGGUCCUCCCAGGCACCAUGUCCCCCCCCCGUGACAUGCCUGGGGGAGGGGACACACACACGUUUAUUCUACCCCCCCCAGCCAGCAGCACACCUGGGAGGUGCCUCGCAGCGGGGGGGGGGAGCCCUGCCUCAGUUUCCCCACUGCGAGAUUGGUGUGGGGGGGCCUGGGGGUGGUUCCUGCAUCCCUUUCCACCCCCCCCCCCCCUUCAACCACCUCCAGCCCCGGGGAGGGGCGGGCAGGCGGGGCCGCUGCUGAAUAAAGGGAUUAAUUCGGCGCUGGGGAGGGAGAGGGGGCACCGCACCGCACCGAGCACCGCGCACGGCACCGCGCAGAGCCCCGCGCAUCUCCGGGCGCAUCGCUCCGCACCUCGCGCAUCUCCCGGCGCAUCUCCCGGUGGAGAACCCCGCGCAUCUCCCCGCGCAUCUCCCCCCACAUCUCCCCGCACAUCUCCCCGCACAGCCCCGCGCAUCUCUCCGCGCAGAGCCCCGCGCAUCUCCGGGCGCAUCGCUCCGCACCCCGCGCAUCUCCCCGCGCAUCUCCCGGUGGAGAGCCCCCGCGCGUCUCCCCGCACAUCCCCGCGCGUCUCCCCGCUCCGCACCCCAUGGCUCUGCAGCUCCAGCUCCGCACCGUCUCCGGCCUCCGCGGCAGAGCCGACCGCAUCGCCAAGGCGGCUUUCCGAGGGCUCUCCUUCUACACCCGAGUGCUGGAAAGCUGCGAGGACGAGGCCAGGUUUGACGAGGUAA